rnacentral:rRNA from 1 species
GACGAACGCUGGCGGCGUGCUUAACACAUGCAAGUCGAACGAAGUGGCGAACGGGUGAGUAACGCGUAAUCAACCUGCCCUUCAGGGGGGGACAACAGUUGGAAACGACGGCAAAUACCGCAUACUGAAGGGGGGGAUUGCGUCGGAUUAGCUAGUUGGAGGGGAAACGGCCCACCAAGGCGAUGAUCAGUAGCCGGGCUGGGGGGAUGAACGGCCCCAUUGGGACUGGGACACGGCCCAGACUCCUACGGGAGGCAGCAGUGGGGAAUCUUCCGCAAUGGACGAAAGGCUGACGGAGCAACGCCGCGUGAGUGAUGACGGCCUUCGGGUUGUAAAGCUCUGUUAAUCGGGACGCGGUACCGGAAUAGAAAGCCACGGCUAACUACGUGCCAGCAGCCGCGGUAAUAC